UCCCUAGUGGCUCAGCCGAUAAAGAAUCCGCCUGCAAUGCGGGACACCUGGGUUCAAUCCCCAGAUUGGGAC
rnacentral:tRNA from 1 species